UACGUAGGGUGCAAGCGUUGUCCGGAUUUAUUGGGCGUAAAGAGCUCGUAGGCGGUUUAGAAAGUCAGGUGUGAAACCUCCAGGCUCAACCUGGAGACGCCACUUGAUACUUCUAUGACUUGAGUUCGGUAGGGGUAAGUGGAAUUCCUGGUGUAGCGGUGAAAUGCGCAGAUAUCAGGAGGAACACCGAUGGCGAAGGCAGCUUACUGGGCCGAUACUGACGCUGAGGAGCGAAAGCGUGGGGAGCGAACAGG
rnacentral:rRNA from 1 species